AUUGAACGCUGGCGGCAGGCCUAACCCAUGCAAGUCGAGCGGACGAAGGGAGCUUGUUCCUGGUUUCAGCGGCGGACGGGCGUGUAAUGCCUACGAAUCUCCCUGGUAGUGGGGGAUAAUCUCCGGAAACGGGCGCUAAUACCGCCUACGUCCAGAGGGCGAACGUGGGGGAUCUUUCGCCCUCACGUUCCCAGCUGAGCCUAGGUCAGAUUAGCGAGUCGGUGGGGUAAAGGCCUACCAAGGCGACGAUCCGUACCUGGUCUGCGUGGAUGAGGACUCACACAGGACCUGAGACACGUUCCAGAGUGUUGAGGGAGGCAGCAGUGGGGAAUAUUGGGCAAUGGGCGAAAGCCUGAUCCAACCAUGCCACGUGUGUGAAGAAGGCUCUCGGAUUGUAGAGAACUUUAAAGUGGGAGAAAGGGCAGUAACUUAAUACCUUGCUGUUUUGACGUUACCAACAAAAUAAGCACCGGCUAACUUCGUG
rnacentral:rRNA from 1 species